UACGUAGGGUGCGAGCGUUGUCCGGAAUUACUGGGCGUAAAGAGCUCGUAGGUGGUUUGUCGCGUUGUUCGUGAAAACUCACAGCUCAACUGUGGGCGUGCGGGCGAUACGGGGCAGACUAGAGUACUGCAGGGGAGACUGGAAUUCCUGGUGUAGCGGUGGAAUGCGCAGAUAUCAGGAGGAACACCGGUGGCGAAGGCGGUUCUCUGGGCCUUACCUGACGCUGAGGAGCGAAAGCAUGGGGAGCGAACAGG
rnacentral:rRNA from 1 species